GGACUACCGGGGUAUCUAAUCCCGUUUGCUCCCCUAGCUUUCGCGCCUCAGCGUCAGAAGAGGUCCAGCGCGCCGCUUUCGCCACCGGAGUUCCUGUAGAUAUCAACGCAUUUCACCGCUCCACCUACAGUUCCGCACGCCCCUACCUCCCUCGAGGCCGUCAGUAUCUAAGGCAGUUCCACGGUUGAGCCGCGGCAUUUCACCCCAGACUUGACAGCCCGCCUACGCGCCCUUUAAGCCCAGUGAUUCCGAACAACGUUCGCACGGUUCGUCUUACCGCGGCUGCUGGCAC
rnacentral:rRNA from 1 species